UACGUAGGGUGCGAGCGUUGUCCGGAAUUACUGGGCGUAAAGCGCGCGUAGGCGGCCUGUUAAGUCGAACGUGAAAUCCCCAGGCUCAACCUGGGAACUGCGUCCGAUACUGGCAGGCUUGAAUCCGGGAGAGGGAUGUGGAAUUCCAGGUGUAGCGGUGAAAUGCGUAGAUAUCUGGAGGAACACCGGUGGCGAAGGCGGCAUCCUGGACCGGUAUUGACGCUGAGGCGCGAAAGCCAGGGGAGCAAACGGG
rnacentral:rRNA from 1 species